GAUGAAGAACGUAGCGAAAUGCGAUACGUAAUGUGAAUUGCAGAAUUCAGUGAAUCAUCGAAUCUUUGAACGCACAUUGCGCCCUGUGGUAUUCCGCAGGGCAUGCCUGUUCGAGCGUCAUUUCAACCCUCAAGCCUCGCUUGGUGUUGGGCCCUGCCCGCCGCGGCCGGCCCUAAAGAUAGUGGCGGCGCCGCCUGGCCCUCAGCGUAGUACAGCUCUCGCUCCAGGGUCCGGCGGCAGCCUGCCAGAACCCCCCAACUCUGUGGUUGACCUCGGAUCAGGUAGGGAUACCCGCUGAACUUAAGCAUAUCAAUAAGCGGAGGA
rnacentral:misc_RNA from 1 species